rnacentral:rRNA from 1 species
UACGUAGGGUGCGAGCGUUAAUCGGAAUUACUGGGCGUAAAGCGUGCGCAGGCGGUUUGUUAAGACAGAUGUGAAAUCCCCGGGCUUAACCUGGGAAUGGCGUUUGUAACUGGCAAGCUAGAGUGUGUCAGAGGGAGGUAGAAUUCCACGUGUAGCAGUGAAAUGCGUAGAGAUGUGGAGGAAUACCGAUGGCGAAGGCGGCAUCCUGGACCGACAUUGACGCUGAACGGCGAAAGCUAGGGGAGCAAACGGG